UUCAAAUUGGAUUUGAAUUUAAAAGAUUAAUAUUUAUUCAAAUAAUUAAUUAUAUUUGAUAAUUAAUUAAAAAGAUAAUUAAUUUAAAUUUGAAUUCAAAUUUGAAUUAGUUAUCAGGUUGUUAGAUCUUAUCUAACAAAGAAGUUUGAAUAAAUAAUUAAAUAAAAAUUGAAAAACCAACAUCCUUAAAAUUAGGGAGGCUACACGUGCACACACAGUCCGCGCGUGUAGGGCAAAUUUCAGGGAUAGGAUUUUCAUUUUUAUUUAAUUAAUUAAUGGAUAAUUCAAAAAUUGGUUUUUGGAUUUUUUCAUUAAUAGAAUAAUUAAUUAAUUAAAAAGUAAUUUGUAAAAUGGUUACAGAUUUAUUUUUAAAUUUGAAUAUUUUAUUUUAAGUAUGACUAAUCAGAAAAAUAUUCAGAUAUGUGAGACAACUCAGAACAUUCGCUCUGUGAAAAAUAGAACGAUAGUUUUCUCUCCCUGAAAAUAAAGAACCAAUUCUCAGGCCUAUUCUCUUGAUCUCAUGUGUUGAGUACAUCAAGUAGAAUCACAAAAUAAACUAUCCUUCAUUCCCACACACUUCUUGAGGUGUAGAGAACACUUUGGAAGAUCUUGGUGUGAGUACGUGGGAGCGGCUUGGAUAGGAAGAUCGUUCUAAAUACGAAAAGAUAGCAAGGACACUUGAUAGGCUUCAAGAGGUUUAUCGCCAAAGCUCAGGACUGGGGAUCGUGCUCGGGACCAUUUUGUAUCCUCCGCUUGGAAUUCAAGGUAAAGGCAAAGGGAAGCUGGACCAACCAUGAGUUGGAGAGCCUUGGGGGUAGAGUGUACAUAGUCAGCUGCUCGACCAUCACGGCUGGGGGAAAGUAUAGGGACAGAGGCCUAAAACUUGUAUUUUUCCAUUAGAGUGGCUAUUGUAUGUAUUAAAACUUUUGAGAAUUGUAGCUAUCACUUGUACCCUGUUUUUGGGAUCCCAUGUAUUAAACAUCUAUUUUAAUGAAAAUUAACCGUUUAUGUUCAAAAUC